GAAAUGCCCAUUGAGGCAGCCCCUGGACUUCACUUUGAUAGAAUGGCGUGUGGGGAAUAUCAGGAAAGAUGGAAUUAGCAGCAGCUCAGAGGAGCAGAGCAGCCUGGCAAGAGAGAGACAAAAAAGACCACUGCGUUUGGCUCCUCCGGCAACUGUACCCAACCUGGGGCCUCCCAGCUGCUCCCAAAGAGGAAAGACAGCCCGCAGACUCAGUGAACUCUGGACACUGCUGUGCUGGAGAUUUUCACGUUGCUGUCGGACCAGGAGCUUGCAGGAGGCAGUUCCGGAGUGCAGAUGGCCUCAACUGGGAGAGGGAGAGGGAUCCUGCCACGUGGGGCACGGAAACGAGCCUCGGGUUCUUUAUUUCUGAAAGAGUCAAGGUGACAUCUACAGAGAGUUCCCCUUCCUUCUCACAGAGAAGGUGUGUGUAGGCGCCAGGGGCCCUGUGUUCCCACGCUCACCUGCACCCUGGCGCUCGAGUUUGCCUCCACUCCCGGCCACAGCUGCCAAAAUUCAAGGGUGCUCCCUCCUGUGGACCCCCAUCGGACCCUGGGUCCGGAGCAGCCAGUGGCAACACCUCGGGAGGUCGAGGCUUCCAUCCUACAGAGUCCCCCGCGUAGGGCUGGUCUGGCGCGUCAGCUCUUCACCUGCUGACUGUCGCCAGAGGGUCAAGACGGCCUGGCAGCAUCUUCCAUUUCCAGGCCGGUGGUGACGCCUGGCGGUGGAGAGAAGAACAGCCGCGACUUCUGCUGCAGGAACUUCUAUCAAGAAGCUCGUAGGCACACUGGGCACCACUGAGGGUGGUGGGGAGUUUGGGGGGCGGGGGUGGGAGGCAGAAACUUUCAGGGGGUCUGGGAGACUGAAGGGCUUCCCAGAGCAGCACUGACCUGGGCUUCUGUUAGGGAGAUGGAUUCAAGACCUUCCGAUUCCAAAUCUGAUCAGAAAGGGUCUGGGGGGUGGGGGUGGGGUGAAAAUGAGGAGCACUGAGGGAGAGGUAGGGUUGGGGUGGCCCCAUGAGACACCAGAGAGUUCAGGAGGAAAGGUUCCCUAAUGUACUCCCUGCAGCCCAGCUCAUUUGGGGUCAUUAUUCCCCUUUGGGGCCCCAGACACCCCUCCCUGCUAAGAUUUCAAUAUAAGGCAGGGCAUGGGAGGGGGGCAAUGAGCCUGGGAAGGGCCACAGUCUGAAAGAGACCUCAGUGGAGGCAACUCCGAGAAAGUGUCAGCUGUGGCCAUGAAGAGGCAGCAGGAAGGAAGCCACUAGAGAUGCUUUUCUGACCCCCGUUCUGCCCUAAACCACCGUGGCUGCCCCCACCUGCCUCGCGCAGACUCAGUAGCCCCUGCUUCCGAGCCUUGCCUGCUGGUGGGGGUGGAAGGGGUGGCCAGAGCCUGACAUCAGCCUAAAGUCAUAACNCCCCCUUUUUUUUUUUUUUUUUUUUUUUUUUUUUUUGUCUUUAUAGGGCUGCACUCUUGGCAUAUGGAGGUUCCCAGGCUAGGGGUCUAAUCAGAGCUAUAGCUUCCAGCCUAUGCCAGAGCCACAGCAAUGCCAGAUCCCAGCUGCGUCUUCGACCUACACCACAGCUCAGGGCAGAGCUGGAUCCUUAACUCACUGAGUGAGGCCAGGGAUCGAACCCGCAACCUCGUGGUUCCUGGUUGGAUUCGUUUCCGCUGCACUACGAUGAGAACUCCCAACCUACUCACUCUUGAAUGCCAGACCCAAAGCCAGCCAACUCUGGACCUGGGAUGCCACAGACUCUGCCAGCUCUAAGUAUACAAAAUCACGCUCCUCCUAGCCUGACCCACAGACUGGUGGCCUCCUGUGAUCCCCCCACCUUGGGGGGCCCCUGCCAUCCACCUCAUUAGAAUCUCGGUGCCAGCCUUGCCUCCAGCCUCUCUUCCCAAUGUCCAGCUGCAUCUCCUCCAACCCACUGCAGUCUUCAGGUCCCAUCAUUGCUCCCUGGGACCACUGCCACCUGGACUGGUCUCUCCCUGCCAUUCCCUACUCACCCUACAGCCAGAAGGUGAUGGAUUUCCAAGAUGCAAACAAGAGGGUGUCUCUCUCCUGUUUCAAAUCCGUGGAAGGGGCCCCACAGCCCCAAACUAGCCAAGACAUAUUGGGAACACUCACUAAAUGGCACCCCAAUCCUCGCAUUUAAUCACACAACCUAAUGAGGCAGCUUCUGUAAUUGCCACAGUUUGCAAAUGAGAAAACUGAGACUGCAGGAGAUAAGGGACUUCUCCAAGGAUCCACAGCUAAUACUCUUCAGAGCUGGGCAUGAAGUGAGGUAUUUGUGGUGUUGGCUAGGAGAUUCAGUAUAAACAAUUUUUUUUCCCCUUUUCGGGCCACACCCACGGCAUAUGGAGGUUCCCAGACUAGGGGUCGAAUUGGAGCCGAGAUGCCAACCUACACCACAGCCACAGCAACAUGGGAUCCGAGCUGCGUCUGCGACCUACACCACAGCUCAUGGCAAUGCCGGAUCCCCAACCCACUGAGAGAGGCCAGGGAUCGAACCUGCAACCUCAUGGAUUCUAGUGGGGUUCAUUUCCGCUGCGCCACAACGAGAACUCCACAUGUAGUCUUUUUAGUCUUUUCUUGGCUGUGACUUUUCCUCGGACUAUUCUUAUUUUAUUUCGGGGGCUGUGCCUGCAGCAUGCAGGAGUUCCCAGGCCAGAAAUCAAACCUGAGCCAUAGAGUGACAAUGCUUAGUCCUUAACUUCUAGGCCACCAGAGAACUCCAGACUGUUUCUAUCAUUUGUUUGUUUGGGGUUUUUUUGGCUGUGCCUGUGGAAUAUGGAAGUUUCUGGGCAGGACAACACAGGAUCCUUAACCCGCUGUGCCACAAAAGAAUGCCCAGACUNUUUUCCUUUUUUUUUUUUUUUUUUGUCUUUUUGCCAUUUCUUGGGCCGCUCCCCGCGGCAUAAGGAGGUUCCCAGGCUAGGGGUCUAAUCAGAGCUGUAGCCUCUGGCCUACACCACAGCCACAGCAACACGGGAUCCGAGCCGCAUCUGCAACCUACACCACAGAUCACGGCAACGCCGGAUCCCCAACCCACUGAGCAAGGCCAGGGAUCGAACCUGCAACCUCAUGGUUCCUAGUCAGAUUCGUUAACCACUGAGCCACAAUGGGAACUCCCCAGACUGUUCUUAUUUUUGAUGACUUGACAGUUUGAGGAGUACCGGUCAGGUUUUUUGUAGAAUACACCCCUCCACUGGAAUUCGUCUGAUCUUUUUCUCCUAGACUGGGGCUGUGUGUUUUGGGGGAGAGGAGGAUGAUCACGGGUGUGGAGUGCCUUUCUCUUCACAUCAUGUGAAAGGUACGUGUGUAACAGGGAAGAACAAAUCCGACUCCAUAUUAGAUCUGUUUCCUUUACUGACUUGUCUUCUACUGCUUUGGCUCCAAGUUAAUCACUUAACAGCUCUUGCCUAGAGCUUAAAGUACACAUAAUGGCCCAUUUCUGGGAACUCCCAGCUUCCCAUGCUUGAAGUUUUUGCUGUUUUUUUUUUUUUCAGGGCCACACCCAUGGCAUAUGGAAGUUCCCAGGUUAGGGGGUCAAAUCAGCAGUAGCUGCCGGCUUACACCACAGCUCAUGGCAAUGCCCCAUCCUUAACUCCCUGAGUGAAGCCAAGGAUCAAACCCACAUCCUCAUGGAUACUAGCUGGGCUCGUUACUGCUGAGCCACAACAGGAACUUCCAUCCCAUGCCUGAGCCUUAAGCUAAAACACCUUUGUUCAUGGGAAGCCCCACCUGUGAAUGGCUGCAGGAAAGAAAAAUUGAACACAUCCUCUCAGAGUCUGGGCUGGAACCAGGAAAAAUUUGCAGCAACUUAUAAUCUUCUUUUUUUUUUUUUUUUUAAGUUACCACCUCAACUCCUCCUCUUUGUUCUAUAAAAGAAACAAGCAGCCAAGGGGAGUUCCCAUCAUGGCUCAGUGGUUAACGAAUCUGACUAGAAACCAUGAGGUUGCAGGUUCGAUCCCUGACCUUGCUCAGUGGGUUAAGGAUCUGGUGUUGCCCUGAGCUGUGGUGUAGGUCGCAGACAUGGCUCGGAUCCUGUGCUGCUGUGGCUGUGGUGUAGGCCGGCGGCUACAGCUCCGAUUGGACCCCUAGCCUGGGAACCUCCAUAUGCCACGGGAGUGGCCCAAGAAAUGUCAAAAAGCCAAAGGAAAAAAAAAAAAAGAAAAGAAAAGAAAAAAAAGAAACUAGCAUCAAACUUGGGCAAGAUGGUUCUUUGGGACAGUAGUCCACCAUCUGCUCAGUCUGCGGGCUCUCUGAAUAAAGUUGGUUCAUGGCCUGUUGUGCA
rnacentral:lncRNA from 1 species